CAAAGGUGCAUGUAGAAACGGAGUACACAGCAAAUAACAACAGCUGGUGCCGAAAACCAGACACAUCCACGUACAAACACCUCUAGACAUGUAUUAAUGGCCUUAACUGCAAUGGCAGAUGCUCACAUCUGCUCAGAAUAAAACAAACACCAGCGUGUGCACACACACACAAACACACACAGGGGUGAGUUAUAAAUCUGACACACGUCACAUUUAAUUGUUCUAACAAGCAGUAAUGAGAGCAUUGAGGGUCAGCGAGGCACUUUGGAUGAUGUAAGUAUUCCUCGGAGGAUGGAUGAGCAUCAAUCUGGCAACCUUGAUUUCAUAUUUGGGUUUAAUUCAGCGUAAUGGCAGCUGUCUACACAUGGGAGAAGGACGGUAAUAGAAUACCUGGCAACCACUGCACAGUGUUCAUAACUAGAGCACUGGAUCGGUGAGGAGAGGGAUUAAACUGACAAGAAGGGUCCAAGAGAGCACUUAGUUCUGCCUACACUUUGGUGAUGGAGCAGGCAAGAGUGUUAGCUUGAAAUGAUAGAAAAAUCGAAGUUUUGAUUUCCCACAUCAGUUGAAACACACUACAGGAAAUGACCUCUAAUAUGUGCUUCAAAACAGACAAACUCUUUAGAAGAAAUCCCUUAGUGUUGGACUAUUUCAGAAGGGCAUGUUUAUUAAAAGCGUGUUCCUCCCUGCUGCAUUUCCCCUCUGAGAAGCAGCAAUAAGAUCACUAAAGCUGGAUGGGAUUGGUAAACCGCCUGCAGUUUCAUGGACGGCUGCUUCAGAAAAUCAAGAGCUGAAAAUCAGGAACGGCUCCACAGAAUCUCCUCCCCCUCCACGUUCAAUUUGCCACUCUGAACAGAUUUAUUCCUCCUUGAUCCUGGCAGCAUCACCAUUCUAUCACUCCCCUUUUCAUUCUGUCCUUCCUGCCUUCCUUUCCUUCUUUGCUUCCUUCCUUCCAUCCAUCCUUACAGCAUCUUUGAACCUGCUGGCCCCAGUCUUGCAUCUGGACGCCUGACAAACCAACAUCAAUAAGGCUGUCUGGUGGCAGCAUACAGGUCCAUCAGCUGGAGCUGUGCAUGCAGCUUAUGCAGCAUGCAAAUUGACCAGCGUGCCUGCAUGUGUUUAUGGGCAUGCAUUUUACGCGUGUGCAUCCAUAUGUGUGCAUGUUCAAUGUCUGUUGUCUCCUUGAGCAGUUGCAUCUGUAAAUCAUGAAUUAGACAUUUUCGCGCUGGAGCAUAAAAACUGCGAAUGUAAAAUCUGUGCAGGCUACCAGCACUGACGGCCUUUUAAAAACUGAAAUGACUAAACUAUGAAAAAGGAAAGGAAGUAAGCUCUUCCACUGAACAAGACAAAAAUGAAAUAUUUAGUAGGAGAAGUGUAAAACAUUAGAGUCUGUCAUGAAAUAUGUUCUGCUGGUUUUUUCUACCACUAUUGCAAAGAACUGAACAUUUACUCUACAAGUUCAAGCCAAAAAAAUCUGUUUGAAACAAAACUUUGUAUUUUUCUUUUUAUAUUCUUUUUGUUCUUCGUUUUUUUUUUUUCUCUCAAUUUUGGAAAGGCCAAUUCCCUUUGCCCUGCAGCUUUUGUUGCUACAGCAAUAUCUCCCUCUGUUGGCCUCAGAUACACAUGGAUUCGCGAGUUGCUUCAUUUCAUCUGCCAGGAGGAGCUCACCAGGAGACAAUAACACAUGGAGGUCCAAGUAAUCACCCCUGGAUGGGCGCUCCAAGCCAACCAGCGAUGGUUAUUGGUGCACUUACAAAGAUAUGAUCCUUUGUGGCUUCAUACCUGCCAUUUUGCCAAUUACGCUCAAAGGGGCACCCAGGCCAGAAGCAAGAAACACUGCAGCCAGGGAUAGAACCUGAGUCCCUGCGGUGGUGGGGGAGUGAUUUUCUCUCCACACUAUCUGGCGCUUCGGGCUGCAUUUGUAAUUGUAUCGGAGCCAGUAUCCCUCAGUGCAUGUGAAUAGGUCAAAGCUGGAUCAGCAAAGUUGCUGCUGGAGAUCGACUGACAGUGUUGACACCAGUCCAGUUCUUGGUCAGCCAAUCGAAUUCGAGGAGUCCUGCCGCUGUCAGCUUCCUCUCUUAUGUAAAGGGGUCACGGUUCAGAGCCCAGGGGACGACGUAUAGGUACUGAGGGGACAAGAGCACGUUUGACAUGCUUGACGCGGCAGGGCACGCCGACACGGGCGGACACACACACACACGCCAACGCACACUCGUGAUCAGAGAUGGCGUAUGGUCGACAUGCAGCGCCACGUCUUCAAACGGGGGAGAGUGGAGAUGUGCGGCAGAGGGAGAGGGAGCUUCAAACGGGGAGCUGUGGGAGGA